CGAGAGGGUAGUUCGGCUUCCGAUACCCCGUUGUCCGAACGGUUGUUUCAUGUCUUCGAUUUUAUGAUAAAAAAAUGCCAUUCAAUACGUGCAAACCAUCGCGGCUGCCGAAAAAAGUGUAAACGCAAUUGUUUGUCCUAUUUUCGUAGAUUGAAGAACCGAUGUCUAUCCGUUCUAACAUCUAAAUACAAUUAUUUCACCGACUUGUCCUCAUCAGAGUUUGAAGAUCUUUUGAACUCUCGUUUUUCGGCCGAAGAAUAUUCUUUCAGCCAUUGUACUUCGGCAAUUUAAUGGUUUUCGUUCAAGGUUUGGCACAGUUUCAAGUGUUGUAAGAUAUUUAUUAUUACUACAAAUCGCAAAUGCCAAUUAUACAAAUCUACGAUUUAAAUAACAAUCCACUUGCUAUAAUUUCAUUAGGGCAAGCCAACUUAUGUUUAACGAAGACUAUUUUCUGCUCUGGGAAUACGAAGAACUGAUCGCUAUGCCUUGUUUAAUAGAAAUGUUUGGAUUGGUUUAAGUCAGCUUUCGUUUUCAAAACUAACUGUGGAGGUGCAAAACACCUGUUAAAUCGGUUCCCGGCGAAUCAACACUCAGCAGCUAUCACAAAAGACUGUGACAUGCAGCAAGGAUGAUUUGAGUAGCAUGCCUUAUGUUCAUUCACCGGAAACCAGAGGCAUGAUCAAACUAUUGAUUAACAACAGUGCAUUUUUCCUUCUCCUUGAUCGAUUUACCAACGUGGAUUUUUCGUUCGUUUAAGAUGCGAUUGUAAUAGAAAGUACAGUUGAUGAUUAAACAGUGCAUAUAAAGCAUGGAUUCUCACGCGCCUCGCGAAUUAUUACCUAUGAAGAGACUUUAAUAUUAGACAAAAUCUUGGACCAUGCAGCGAAUGCACAGUGGUCCAGAAAUGCAAUCCAGUGGACCAAAAUUAAUAACUUAAAAAUGAGCCAUUUUAGUGAGUUUGUGUCUUGGGAAAUGUUUUUUGGAAUGAAAGCUGCCAUCUUUUGGUACAAAAACAGAAAUGUACUAAACUUAUACUUCGGUAAUUUAAUGGUUUUGUUUCAAAAUCUUUAAAGCUUCUUGUUUUGUAAGAUAUUUAUUAUGACUACACUACAAGUCGCAAAUGCCAUGAUACAAAUUCACGAUUUAAAUAACAAUCCGCUUGCUAUAAUUUCAUUAGGCCAAGCACAAGUUAGAUUAGGAUAAGUAAGAAUCCUACAGCCUAUUGAUUUUGAUCAAUUAAAAGAUAUAAUAAACAGUUUCAAUAAAUUAGUAAAUUUGAAAAUGUUAAUAACUAGUCCGCUUCGAAAUUGUAGAUUUUCCAUGAAGUCUGACUGGUUCACAGGCGUAAUUUGUGAUCAGUGCGAUCCCUAUCACGAGCGAACUCACGGAUAGCUAUCAUUAUGAGAAUGUGCUCUUCCCACCUUCACUAAGGAUCAAGAAGGUAGUCGAACGAGACUUUCACCGCGACUUUUAAUGCUUUAAAAAAAAAAACACUAACUUAACCCUAAGUUGCGAAACUUACGUUUAACGAAGGAGAACUAGUCGCUAUGACUUAUUUAAUAGAAAUAUCUUAGAUUGGUUUAAGUCAGCUUUCGUUUUGAAAACUAACUGUGGAGGUGGAAAACACCUGUUAAAUCGGUUCCCGGCGAAUCAACACUCAGCAGCUAUCACAAAAGAACGCGACAUGCAGCAAGGAUGAUUUGAGUAGCAUGCCUUAUGUUCAUUCGCCGGAAACCAGAGGCAUGAUCAAACUGUUGAUUGAAAAAAAAAAUCCUUUCUCCUUGAUCGAUUUGCCAAAGUGGAUUUUUCGUUCGUUUAAGAUGCGAUUGUAAUAGAAAGUACAGUUGAUGAUUAAACAGUGCAUACAUCAUGGAUUCUCACGCUCCUCGCAAAUUAUUGCCUAUGUGAUAAUCUUCCGAUAAAUGCAAGCCUGGGUAACGGAUAGCUAUCGCGAACGAACUCACGGAUAGCUAUCAUUAUGAGAAUGUGCUCUUCCCACCUUCACUACGGAAUCAAGAAGGUAUUCGAACGAAACUAUCACCGCGAGUCUUUUAAUCUGAAUUCCUUUUUUUUUAAACGCUAACUCAACCCUAAGUUGCAAAACUUACGUUUUACGAAGGUUACUUGCUGCUGUGGGAA